GUCGUGGUAUUGAGGGUGGAAAGAAUGCAUCUACAAGGCUAUGAGAGUUGGAUAGAGGCACUGACUCCAAAACUCUAGUGGAAGACCACCGUCCUCCACUCUUGCUAUUCCACAAAAGGAUCAGGUUAUUACUGGAGUAAAAGCUGGAAGUCUCUGACAUGGUUUUGGAGAUGCUGCGAGAGGACGAGCCAUUGGA